ensembl:snoRNA SNORD42 Small nucleolar RNA SNORD42
GCGCAAAUGAUGGAAAACGCACUAUUUGGAAAAGAAUGACACCUACAAAGGAACCACUGAUGCGC